AUUGAACGCUGGCGGCAGGCCUAACACAUGCAAGUCGAACGGUAACAGGAAGAGCUUGCUUCUUGCUGACGAGUGGCGGACGGGUGAGUAAUGUCUGGGAAACUGCCUGAUGGAGGGGGAUAACUACUGGAAACGGUAGCUAAUACCGCAUAACGUCGCAAGACCAAAGAGGGGGACCUUCGGGCCUCUUGCCAUCGGAUGUGCCCAGAUGGGAUUAGCUUGUGGUGGGGUAACGGCUCACCAGGCGACGAUCCCUAGCUGGUCUGAGAGGAUGACCAGCCACACUGGAACUGAGACACGGUCCAGACUCCUACGGGAGGCAGCAGUGGGGAAUAUUGCACAAUGGGCGCAAGCCUGAUGCAGCCAUGCCGCGUGUAUGAAGAAGGCCUUCGGGUUGUAAAGUACUUUCAGCGGGGAGGAAGGGAGUAAAGUUAAUACCUUUGCUCAUUGACGUUACCCGCAGAAGAAGCACCGGCUAACUCCGUGCCAGCAGCCGCGGUAAUACGGAGGGUGCAAGCGUUAAUCGGAAUUACUGGGCGUAAAGCGCACGCAGGCGGUUUGUUAAGUCAGAUGUGAAAUCCCCGGGCUCAACCUGGGAACUGCAUCUGAUACUGGCAAGCUUGAGUCUCGUAGAGGGGGGUAGAAUUCCAGGUGUAGCGGUGAAAUCGUAGAGAUCUGGAGGAAUACCGGUGGCGAAGGCGGCCCCCUGACGAAGAC
rnacentral:rRNA from 1 species